CGGAGUAACGAGAAGCGGGACGUGUCCGGGACAAUCGGGUGAUCGUGUGAACCGAGGUGCUCCUUUGGAACGAUUCCAGCGUCAAACAGGUGAUUCUAUACACAAUGGUGAACCCGCCGUUCAUGCCGUUCGGUUAGCGGAGUGUCGCGAGUGCAAUACGAGGCCUACUCGGACUGACAUGUCGCCGGAACCAGAGAUAGUAGCCAGAGGUUGGCCGAGGUCCUGAUAGCCGCAGCGACCAGGAUCCGGGAUCAUCCAACGGAGAAAGGAUGCCAGGGGGGCGCAGGGGCCUGGUCGCCCCGCAAAACACAUUCCUCGAAAACAUCAUACGUCGUAGCAGCAGUCAACCUGACAGCAGUUUUCUCCUGGCGAACGCUCAGAUCGUCGACUUCCCUAUUGUCUAUUGCAACGAAAGCUUUUGCAAAAUCUCUGGCUAUAAUCGUGCCGAGGUUAUGCAAAAGUCCUGCCGCUGCGGAUUCAUGUACGGGGAGUUGACGGACAAAGAGACGAUCGCCAGGAUCGAGGAAUGCCUCGAGGGCCAGAUUCACGAUCAAUUCGAGAUCCUGCUGUACAAGAAGAACAGUGCCCCACGAGGUAUGUCUAGCACAGGUUCGCAAAAGAGUGCUCGAAAGACCCACCACCUGAACAAGAGACGACACACUUACAAGGAUCGUCGAACGAUCCCUGGACCAAGGGGCGGCCAUAAUGAGAGGACACUGUUCGACCUCCCACCUACUCUUGAUUUCAAAACACCGCUAUGGCUGCUUCUGCAAAUAGCGCCAAUAAAAAACGAACGGGACCUGGUGGUCCUGUUCCUGUUGACCUUCCGGGACAUCACUGCCCUGAAGCAGCCAAUCGACACGGACGACAGCAAAGGUGGCCUCUCGAAGUUCGCCAAACUAGCCAGAUCGGUCACCAGGUCCAGAUCCGUUCUUGUCUCACAGUUCAGCUCACAUCUGCCCGCCCUGAAGGACUCCGCGUUACCAACCACCACCAAACAAUCGCACUUAGCUCAUAUGAUGUCGUUAAGCGGCGACGUGAUGCCGCAGUACAGACAGGAGGCGCCGAAGACUCCGCCACACAUUUUGUUACAUUACUGCGCGUUCAAGGCAAUCUGGGAUUGGAUCAUUUUGUGUUUGACCUUUUACACGGCCAUCAUGGUGCCCUACAACGUCGCGUUCAAAAACAAGACCAGCGAGGAUGUGUCCCUGUUGGUCGUCGACAGCAUCGUCGACGUCAUAUUCUUCAUCGACAUUGUCCUCAACUUUCAUACGACGUUCGUUGGUCCGGGUGGCGAGGUGGUGUCUGACCCAAAGGUGAUCAGAAUGAACUACCUGAAAUCAUGGUUCAUCAUCGACCUCCUAAGUUGCCUUCCAUACGACGUGUUCAACGCGUUCGACCACGACGAGGACGGCAUAGGUAGUUUGUUCUCGGCGUUGAAGGUGGUGCGUCUGCUUCGUCUGGGUCGGGUAGUUCGCAAACUAGACCGGUAUCUGGAGUAUGGAGCCGCGAUGCUCAUUCUUCUGCUCUGUUUCUACAUGUUGGUUGCUCACUGGCUGGCCUGUGUCUGGUACGUCACUUUAAGGUACUCGAUAGGAAGGUCGGACGCCGACAACGGGGUUCAAUAUUCAUGGCUGUGGAAGCUGGCGAACGUCACACAGUCACCCUACAGCUAUUUGUGGACUAAUACCAGUACUGCGCCGGAGUUGGUCGCAGGACCGUCCAGGAGGACUAUGUACGUCACCGCCUUGUACUUCACGAUGACCUGCAUGACCUCCGUUGGCUUCGGCAACGUCGCCGCGGAAACCGACAACGAGAAAAUAUUCACCAUCUGCAUGAUGAUCAUCGCUGCUCUACUGUACGCCACGAUCUUCGGUCACGUCACCACAAUAAUUCAGCAAAUGACAUCCGCCACCGCCAAGUAUCACGACAUGCUGAACAACGUGAGAGAAUUCAUGAAGUUGCACGAGGUGCCGAAAGCCCUAAGCGAGCGAGUGAUGGACUACGUGGUGAGCACCUGGGCGAUGACCAAGGGCCUAGACACCGACAAGGUACUCAAUUACUGCCCGAAAGACAUGAAAGCGGACAUCUGUGUUCACUUAAACAGGAAAGUCUUCAACGAACACCCAGCGUUCAGGUUGGCCUCCGACGGUUGCCUGCGGGCACUGGCGAUGCACUUUACAAUGUCGCACAGUGCGCCCGGCGAUUUGCUUUAUCAUACAGGCGAGUCGAUCGACUCGUUGUGCUUCAUCGUGACUGGGAGUCUCGAGGUGAUACAAGACGACGAGGUUGUGGCUAUCCUUGGCAAGGGAGACGUGUUCGGAGACAGCUUCUGGACGAAUCCGUCCGUGGGACAAAGCGCGGCCAACGUGCGAGCUCUGACCUACUGCGACCUUCACACUAUCAAGAGGGACCGACUGUUGGAAGUGUUGGAUUUUUAUCAAGCUUUCGCAAACUCCUUCGCCAGGAACCUCGUUUUGACCUACAACCUGAGUCACCGGCUGAUAUUUCGAAAAGUGGCCGACGUUCGCCGGGAGAAAGAGUUGGCCGAGAGAAGGAAAAACGAGCCUCAAUUGGAUCAAGCACAGGAUCAUCUGGUGCGAAAAAUCUUCUCGAGGUUCAAGACCGACGGGGAUGCCCAGAUUGGCGCGACUAGGGCCGCGAACGGACGAUCCCAACAGGAUUCCGACGAGGAGCUCACCGUGAACGUCCUGCCGCCCUGGCCCAGUUUUAGGUUCCGCAGGGAGAGGCACACCGCCGACGUGGAGAAAGGGGACAGCAAAGACGGGAAGGACGGCAAAGAGGGAGAAUCGUCGCACACUAGAAAACUCUCCGCAGCGGAGGAGACCACUGCCGUGAAAACGCGACCUGGAAAAUGGGGACGACUGCUAGGGAGCUCGAGUCUGGACUCCGGAAGCGAAGCAGGGACCGGUGUGGACACCUUCAAGCGUUCGCUCAGCGCCAGGGACGCCCGUCCCGGUUCGAGCGCCGGUGGUAACAAGGUGUUCCCAAAGUUCGGCAAGCUCAGCGGCACCAUCGAGGAGACAGCGGACUCAGAAAGCGGUAAAGACGCUCAGCAGCAGCAGCAGCAACAGCAACAGCAGCAGCAGACCGUAACAGACUCGAAACAGCUGCAGCUCCGUCGUCUGGAGAGCUACGACGACGGUCUGAUCACCUCGCAGCCCAGCCACGACCGCGAGAUCCUCGCCGCGGUGCUGGAGGUGAAGGUCGAUCUAAAGCUGGAGGUGCAACGGGUGAACCAGCGGCUGGCCAAGAUCGAGGACAUGAUGCAGACGCUGAUGAGUCGGCUGCCGGUGUGCAACUCGCAGCAGCAGAAGAGUUCGAACAGCGGAGGCGGUGGCUCGAACCAGUCCGGUCAGGGUUCGUCCGGUUCUCAGCAGGGAUCUCAGGCUACGCAGACGCCGGAGCAGAAGGUGUCGCUUGCGACCACGUCCACCUCGACCACGUGCACGGAGAGCUAUAGGGAGCAGGGCACGACCACCGAGCGAACCUCCAAGUCUCAGGAACACCAUCAUCAUCACCAUCAUCAUCAUCAGUCGCAGCAACAGUCGGACAGGCUGAAGGAGUCGGAUUACAAGAGCUCACCCAGAGACGUGAGCAAGGAGCUUCUAGAGAGGCUCGCGCAAGCUUCGACCUCCAGAGGGGACGACUCCACUCCGCUUGGACCCCUGAUCCUCAGGAAACGCAGGAGCAAGUCGCGGAACAAGGGCGCAGCGCCGCUGGCGCCCCUCGCCACCCAGCCUAUCAGCCCGUCCGAAGCGACAGAAACCACGCAGAUGCUCGAGUGCACCGACGACAGGGAACAGAGCACCGCCACGACGGACAGGAGCGACAGGCCCGACAGGAAGAGGCCUCCGCCCAGGACCAGGGAGUACUUGUGAAAGUUCUUACGGCUCCGGACGGUCUCUGAAUUCCUGCAUCGAACAGCGAAGGUCGUAGAAUGUCCUGGCGGAGGGUUUGAGUCUUGGAUACUCAACCGAGUCGUCGAGUUGUUCGUAGGGAGUUGCCUUAAAGAGUUGUUGGUUAGAAGUCCGAGUGAAGAUCGUGAAACGAGUUUGGAUGAAUCCGAGGCGCUCGAGCAGACUGUUUCAGCGAACAUUGUUUUUCAACGAAGUGAUAAAGUCGACGAACGAUUAACAAAUAAACCGUAAUAUCCGUUAAGUUCACCGCGUACGUUUAAGUACACGCUGCAUUUUCGCUACUCGCUUCGCGUACGGUCUUCAACGAGCCUCGUCGAAGGUCGUCGGAACCUAAGCUAAUUGAAAAGUACUAGUAGCGUAUCGUCGAAUGUAAGCGAACAACAAAGAAGAUUACGAUGAAAAUGAAAGGGGAGAGGGUGGUCUCCCGCUACUAAACUUGGCAUAUUUUUGCAUGGCCAAAUCACGCGAUAAAACCAAGUAUAUCGAAUUAACUGCUUGCGACGGCUUCUUCGAGACAUCGAACGUUAAACGAGAACAAAGAAACUAAUCAGAAUACUCGUGUUCUACCUAAAGCUACACACACACACACACGUGUACGCAUACACGUACAGAUACACUGUAAUUGUAGAUUUACACGCAUCUUAGGGGAUCUCAGUUAGAUCGCGAUAGAUUUAUAAGCGGCAAAGUGAACGGUACAACGGUUCUCAGAGGCAAUCUUGCGAGAUCCCCGUAUCGAGUUCGAACGCGAUCCGAAUCGGGCCGAAUCGUUUUCCUGAAUCAGUGCUGUCGAAGGCCUGAACUUCCAGAACCAAUUGCCUAAUAUGUAAUACGUUUCGGUGAAGUGGCGACCUCUGUACCGAUCUGGGAACGCGAGGUUCCUGCUCUGUCGUUUCAACGAAAAUGAAGGUGCCACGUGAGGGAUUACGGGACAUUCGGUACGGUAACUACCCGUCCACACCGUUUUCUGUGUAGGCCGAACGACAGACGGGUAUCUUCGAUUUUGGGAGAUGUGCAUAAAGAAAGCCCAGACGUUCUCUUUCUAUUCUUAUAUCUGUACGCAUGCGCGGCAACGGCGGCUUAAUUUCUCGUGGCCGCUCUCGUCGACAGCACUGAUUUAUGAAUGGGUCCGUGGUGAGGAGACAUCGGCUAGAAUCGCGUUAGGGAUUUUUAUCGGCGGAACACUGGCAGGAGACUGAAGCGGAUAAUGAAACCCUCCCAUGGACAGCACCCUAACUCGCGACCCGAAGAUUCUCUACUUUGUUACGUUGAAAACAUGACCUAAUCCCGCGUAUGGUGGCAUUCACGGAAGCCAAACAGCAAUAUUAGGUGUAUAUAUCUCUUGUAACUACGGUCACGUGUAUAUAUGUACUCGUAAAUGAGAGGCGCGCGUGUUCGUGGCAGCGCAUUUGCGAGGCUGCAUUCCGUUAACGAGUGUAGGGAUUAUUGGUACCAAACCUUAUUUCAUUGACCUAGACGAUGUCGACCUUGAGUCACUUUCUCUUACAAUUGUCUUGUAUUUUUAGAAAUGAUCAGACUUACUUUUACUUGGGGUCAUUUACUUAGGCUCAUUGUAACUUUGCUUAUAGUUGUAUUCAUUUACUUAUACUCAUUGUAAAUUUGCUUAUACUCAUGCUUAUGUUCAUUUAUUUAUACUCAUUGUAACUUUACUUGUAGUCAUACUCAUAUUUAUUUAUUUACAGUCAUUGUAACUUUGCUUAUAGUCAUACUCAUAUUUAUUUAUUUACAGUCAUUGUAACUUUGCUUAUAGUCAUACUCAUAUUUGUUUAUUUACAGUCAUUGUAACUUUGCUUAUACUCACACUUAUGUUCAUUUACUUAUUGUUAACUCAUUGUAACUUUGCUUAUAGUCAUAUUCAUAUUUAUUUAUUUACAGUCAUUGUAACUUUGCUUAUACUCAUGCUUAUGUUCAUUUACUUAUUGUUAACUCCUUAUAACUUUGCUUAUAUUCAUACUUAUAUUCAUUUACUUAUACUCCCUUGCUUACCGCCAUCUUGUUUGACACUCUACUGUAAACAAAAUGGUCGCCAACUGCGACUCUACAUCGUUGAGGAUUUCGUUAACAAGAUAUUGCAGAGGUAAUAAAAUCGAUGAGGUAUCCUAAUGCAAAUAAUUAAUUAGAUGAAAAAGAUGGACAAUUAAGUUAUGAAGAGAAGGUUAAUGAAAUUAGGGUUGACUAAUCCGCAUAUUUACGAGUAACGGUCUUUUCUUUUCGUCUCUUUCCGGGCUUCCAACGCAGCUUCUCUACGAUUUCUAAAAAGCGAGUUAAAAAGGCGAAGGCCUUGAUCGGUGUUCCAUUCGCAGGCAUCCGUUGCGAAACAACGGUACAUUUUGUUGCGUUGCUGUCGCCCGUUAACCGAACCUAACCUAUAAAGCAACAUAUACACAAUUUUGAAGGACAAUCAAAGAUGGAAAGUAUCGAUCAUAAUAGGUCGACGCGAUUAAUCGAUUAAGGCUAUAGAUAAUAUUUCGUUAGCUUAAACUUUAAUCCGAAGCGUAGUACCCUGGCGUGGAGCGACGCGUACGAAUAAUUUUGCACGGUGCGAAUGGGAUUUGACAUUGCGGACUAGCGUUUAGUCAUUUUUAUAAAUACCGAAACGGGGAAGAACCACACGACGAAAGAACGAAAAGGAGAGACGAAUGCACGUCGCGAUCGCGCCGACAGGAACAUCGAUGCGUGAGGAAUGUAUGGAACAGGGACGACGUUCCGGAUGCGACAAAAUCACGUGACCGACGAUGCAACGACAAAACCCUUCUCGCGUUCGAGAAAGAAAUUGUAGUACAUCAGAAACUGUCGAGGAACGUUUGAAAAACAGACAAAGAUAUAAACAUGUGAUAUUACGAUUUUAUAUGUGAAGCUGAUAUUGCUAUACACAUAGGACAAACCGAGAUGUGUAUAUGUAUCAGCUACAUCGCAAUAAAUUGAUUAUAUCGCGCUGUUAUUCUAAAAUUAUAAGCGCGGCGCGACACGAGUCGUCGUUCUUUUAUUGUACAAUGGAACUUUUAUUGCCUAUUCAGUUCGUUUGUUGCAAUUUAUUUUCUUACGCUAAAUAGGGGUUAACGUGGGGUCGCCAUUUUGUUGGCGGCCAUCUUGUCUGUUAGCGGCCAUCUUGUUUACGGCCAUCUUGUUUAGCAUCACACUUUUCGACUUUAUUAAGCAUGUAUUGUUUAAACAAAAAUACAGUGUGUGACACAGUGUGAAAUACUUAUUAACAAGAUGGCCGCUAGCAAACAAGAUGGCCGCCAACAAGUGACUCGACGCAUUUAACCUCUAUUUUUUCCAAAGUUUGUAAAGCUUAUUUCGAAUUGCCAUGCAACAUUAAUAGCGCCGUAAUUCAGUUGAAAUAGGAUAUUUUGUUCGGGGAAAACAAGAAGACAGAGACGACGACAGUGAUCGCCACGACGAUCGAAGAAGCCGUGAUCGUAUCGAAUUUUUUUGUGAAAAUGAUCGAGGAGAGAGUCUAUAAUAGCUAUCCGACGAAAUAACAAAAUAAAGAAAAAAAUAUAUAUAUAUAAUUAUUAUUAUUAUUAUUAUGAUUAUUAUGAUUAGAAGAGGGAGGGGGGACAAAUUUUUGCUAUAACUAACACUUCGUCCAUUUUUCUAUAUGGGCAAUUCGUUGCACUGUAAUCGAUCCUCGGCCUUGUAAAUUCUGUCCUUGUCACUUCCGGUAGCGCUCUUCGAUUGUCGAGCGUCACGGAAUACCGCUCGGUCGAUGUACAUACUGUUCGAUGGCUCGCAUAUGAAAUUUUAAUGAAUUUCAAAAUACUUCAAGAUAAUUAACUCGGAAGCCUCGUUCGAAAAAUUUGAUCACAAUACUUAUUUAUAAAACAUUGCCUUUAAAAUAAAAUUGCAGUACAAAAUAAAAUUACAUGAUGCAAAAUAAAAUUAGUACAAAACAAAAUUAGAGUUAACAAAAGUAUUAAAAGAAGUUUAAAAAGAAUUAUAUCUGCGUUUAAAUAAAAAAUAUGACAUUAUGAUAAUUGUAUGACAAUAUGACAAUUGACACUAGAUUUAUAGAACUUGUUGAAAUGACACAUAUGUUAAGUUACAGAAAUUAUUUAUUUAUUACAGUAUUUUAUUUCUAAUAAAAAAGUAGAUGCAAGUCUGUAAACCUAGUGUUCAAAGAAUCUGUCCAAAAUUGAUUAAAAAAAUAUAUAUAGAGUCGUACAUCAAACAGUAUUUACAGCAUCGACGUUAAAAACGGUGAAGAAAUACUCGAUUUCAUGGAUGAUGAGUCCGCCAUUUUGAUCGGUUCGAGUCCGCCAUUUUGAUCGGUUCGAAUCCGCCAUCUUGAUCGGUUCGAGUCCGCCAUCUUGAUCGGUUCGAGUCCGCCAUUUUGAUUAGUUCAAGUCCACCAUUUCUCGGUCCGAAAAGUACUCAAACGCUAAAAUUUCCGAAAUUGUUAAAUCUUUAAAUUCGAUACCGAUCAUCCAUGAGAAAAGUACAAUAUCGCUAAGUUAGACUUCCGUGGCGCUCGCGGCUCGACGAGCCAAUUCUCGUCAAAUCUCGAAUCUCGACAGCUAAAAAAAAA
rnacentral:misc_RNA from 1 species